UCUCCGUUGGUGAACCAGCGGAGGGAUCAUUGCUGGAACGCGCCUCGGCGCACCCAGAAACCCUUUGUGAACUUAUACCUUACUGUUGCCUCGGCGCAGGCCGGCCUCUUAGCUGAGGCCCCCCGGAGACGGGGAGCAGCCCGCCGGCGGCCAAGUUAACUCUUGUUUCUACCAUGAAUCUCUGAGUAAAAAAACAUAAAUGAAUCAAAACUUUCAACAACGGAUCUCUUGGUUCUGGCAUCGAUGAAGAACGCAGC
rnacentral:misc_RNA from 1 species